rnacentral:SRP_RNA from 2 species
GCCGGGCGUGGUGGCGGACGCCUGUAGUCCCAGCUACUCGGGAGGCUGAGACAGGAGAAUGGCAUGAACCCAGGGAGGCGGAGCUUGCAGUGAGCCAAGAUCGAGCCACUGCAUGCCAGCCUGGGCGACAGAGCGAGACUCCGUCUCAU